rnacentral:rRNA from 2 species
GAUGAACGCUGGCGGCGUGCCUAAUACAUGCAAGUCGAACGAGUUCUCGUUGAUGAUUGGUGCUUGCACCGAGAUUCAACAUGGAACGAGUGGCGGACGGGUGAGUAACACGUGGGUAACCUGCCCUUAAGUGGGGGAUAACAUUUGGAAACAGAUGCUAAUACCGCAUAGAUCCAAGAACCGCAUGGUUCUUGGCUGAAAGAUGGCGUAAGCUAUCGCUUUUGGAUGGACCCGCGGCGUAUUAGCUAGUUGGUGAGGUAACGGCUCACCAAGGCGAUGAUACGUAGCCGAACUGAGAGGUUGAUCGGCCACAUUGGGACUGAGACACGGCCCAAACUCCUACGGGAGGCAGCAGUAGGGAAUCUUCCACAAUGGACGCAAGUCUGAUGGAGCAACGCCGCGUGAGUGAAGAAGGCUUUCGGGUCGUAAAACUCUGUUGUUGGAGAAGAAUGGUCGGCAGAGUAACUGUUGCCGG